rnacentral:SRP_RNA from 1 species
CCGUGCCAGGUGGGGAGUUAGCGGUGCCCUGAACUUGCAAUCCGCUAUAGCAAGACCGCAGGUCCGCCCCGGCGCAUCGCAUGGAUGGCAGAGCAGUAUAAGGAGUGAUGAUAUCAAGGUCUUAUGCAACGGACUGCCGUGAACCGUGUCAGGAUAGGGAUAUAGCAGCACUAAGCGGAUAUGCUUCGUGUGCCAUGAGGUAGCUUUGAAGGAGCCACCUGUGCUGCCCCCGCAUCGGUGCCUUACGUCAAAGCGGAUGCACG